rnacentral:rRNA from 1 species
GACGAACGCUGGCGGCGUGCCUAACACAUGCAAGUCGAGCGAUGAAGCUUCUUCGGAAGUGGAUUAGCGGCGGACGGGUGAGUAACACGUGGGUAACCUGCCUCAUAGUGGGGAAUAGCCUUUCGAAAGGAAGAUUAAUACCGCAUAAGAUUGUAGCUUCGCAUGAAGUAGCAAUUAAAGGAUUUAUUCGCUAUGAGAUGGACCCGCGGCGCAUUAGCUAGUUGGUGAGGUAACGGCCACCAAGGCGACGAUGCGUAGCCGACCUGAGAGGGUGAUCGGCCACAUUGGAACUGAGACACGGUCCGGACUCCUACGGGAGGCAGCAGUGGGGAAUAUUGCACAAUGGGGGAAACCCUGAUGCAGCAACGCCGCGUGAGUGAUGACGGUCUUCGGAUUGUAAAGCUCUGUCUUUAGGGACGAUAAUGACGGUACCUAAGG